CCGGUUCCUCGCAUCCAUGCCGGCCGUUUCCUCCCUUCCGGAUGCCUGAUAAUCUCUCUUUCUCUAUCGUUUUGCAGCAGCUCAACAGAAGGACUCCAAGCAGCGGGUGCUCGACGGCCGGACUCGAACUGUGAAGAUGGUCAUGAAGAUGAACACAAGAAAAAAGAUGGUUAGGGGAGCUGCUGUUUUUGUUGCACUAGCUGCAAUGGCUGCUGUUUUUGAUGCUUUUGGGAAUUUCUUAUGUGAACUAUAUGGUUGUAUGUGCAACUUGUUGAAAAUUAUGUUCUGUGCUGUCAUUCAUGUGUUAUAAACUUGUCAAUAUCUAUUGUUAUGUUGUUUUUAAUCAAAUUACAAACGAAA